rnacentral:rRNA from 1 species
UACAGAGGUCCCAAGCGUUGUUCGGAGUUACUGGGCGUAAAGGGUGUGUAGGCGGUUGGAUAAGUGUGGUGUGAAAUCUCCCGGCUUAACUGGGAGGGUGCGCUACAAACUGUCUGACUAGAGUGUGGGAUGGGAGAGUGGAGUUCCUGGUGUAGCGGUGAAAUGCGUAGAUAUCAGGAGGAACACCGGUGGUGUAGACGGCUCUCUGGACCAUAACUGACGCUGAGACACGAAAGCGUGGGUAGCAAACAGG